ACACCUCAACUCCUCAUGGCUUGCCAUGAUGAGCUUGGACUUUGGGGGACUUGCUGGCCUGCAGUCAGCUCCUCUCAAAUGAAUCAGCUUGCCAGUAUUUGGUGGCACCACAGGUGUGAUAAACAUCUACUCUUGUGGUCCUCCACCAUGUAACCUUCAGUGAUGGAGGUUUGCUGGAGCUCACAAAUGUCUCUCCUCAGUGGGGAUGACCCUUUGAAU
rnacentral:misc_RNA from 1 species